GACCGCACACUCCCCAAAACAACUGCAAACCCAGGGACAACCCGCGCACGCGCAACGCUCUCUUGUGCCUGCGGUUGAGCGGCUCCCUCCGCCAGCUGCCGGAUCUAACUUGUGGGCCUUCUCGGCGCGCCGACUUCCGCGCCUGAGCGGCCGUGACGUAGCCGGUCUCCUCCUCUCGUCCUCCCGCGGCGCCGGUCUCUUGUGACGUCAGCAACAGAAUCCUCUCAGUCGAUAUAGUGCUAAGUGAGGGGCGGGCCGGAUGGGCUGGUUGCCUGCUCCUCCCCCAACCUGAACUUGUUUUGUAAAGGAAACCUCUUGUUAUUUCCUAAGACUUUAGAUUAAGUCUUUACACUGUUCCCGUUUCCUAAUAAGGGAGAAAACGGCCCUCACCCUAGUUCCAGCUCCUUCCAAGCUGAGCGUUCUGUUAGAAUGGUCUGCAAACAAAACCCACAAUAUCUCUGAGGUACAGCUGGAGGAGUCUGGACUGACUUGCCAAGAUGGGGCCUGUUGUGCUGCUGUGGUAUCCUCUGAUCACCUAGAAGAACCUUGAAGGUAGAGAAUCGUUCUUCCUCCUCAACAGUUGGCAUAGCCAGCAGGAUAAACUUUAGCUGGCUGGACACUGCUGCGGCUGAGAGAUUAUGGGACAUCUGACAAAAGCUGGCACGAGGGAAGAACCCUCAUCACAUCAGCCAACUGGAUCUCUGCCUGCCAGGUCUCGUGCAAGUGAGAGUGAUGACACAAUUGGAAACAUGGGCUAUGUCAUCAAGGCUUUGACGGGGAUGUCAUAUUUGAGGGAAACAUGCAUAGACUCAGAUAUGACCAAAUAGCUUUAAGGAACUGAAGUUGACUUAAUGGAGCUAAUAAAGCCCAUUGCCAAUAUCAGCCUGAACCGGCAGCCUUACAAGAAUCAUUGAGAAUUAAAACAGACUUCUCUCCCUGAAGCCCUGCAAACUAAAUAUGAAUGACUUGAUAUAAACUUCAGGAAAAUCAGCACAAUAGAUAACAUAAAGUCAGCGCUGGAGGAAUAUGGACUACCUUAUGAGGGCUAAAUUGGGUGGCUUGCUAAGGAACUUCAAUAAGAGAUGCCUGGGACCCCAGCAAACAAUAUAGGAAAACCUUUCCUCAGCAAUUUGGUAAUUUAUACCUUUGUAAGCUCUACCUACCUGAUCACCCCAGAAUUUGGAAACUCUCAAAGAGAUUUGGCUAGCCAACAGACCUAGGAAGAGAUGCUCAACAUCAGAUAUCAUUAAGAAGACCCACAAGGAAACCCCAUGAGGUACUACCUCACACCAAGCACACUGGAUUUGAUCCACCAAUGAUAUCCACCAAAGGGAACCCUUGUUAUCUCCUGGUAGGUAUGUAAAUUGGUGCAACUGCUAUGAAAAACACUAUGUUGACUGCACAAAGUAAAGAAGGAUCCAGUGAUUCCACUCCUAAGUAUUUAGUCAUAGGAAUGGAAAACACUACUUCAAGAAGAUACAUGUACUCCUAAGUUUAUUGCCACUUUAUAUUCUUUUGCAAUAUCCAAGACAUGGAAGUAUUUAAGGGUCCAUCAAUAGAGGAAUAGAGAGAUUGGUGUGU